ACGCUGGCGGCGUGCUUAACACAUGCAAGUCGAGCGGAGAAUAUAGCAAUAUAUUCUUAGCGGCGGACGGGUGAGUAACGCGUGGGUAACCUGCCUUUUUACAGGGGGAUAACACUGGGAAACUAGUGCUAAUACCGCAUAAAAUAGUGAAGUGGCAUCACUUUACUAUCAAAGGAGCAAUCCGGUAAAAGAUGGACCCGCGUCCGAUUAGCUAGUUCGAGGGUAACGGCCCACCAAGGCGACGAUCGGUAGCCGAACUGAGAGGUUGAUCGGCCACAUUGGGACUGAGACACGGCCCAGACUCCUACGGGAGGCAGCAGUGGGGAAUAUUGCGCAAAAUGGGGGAAACCCUGACGCAGCAACGCCGCGUGAAGGAUGAAGGUUUUCGGAUUGUAAACUUCUUUGAUUGGGGACGAUAAUGACGGUACCCAAAAAACAAGCCACGGCUAACUACGUGCCAGCAGCCGC
rnacentral:rRNA from 1 species